rnacentral:sRNA from 1 species
CCAGUUCGCCCGGAAGAGCCAGCUCAUCGAUACAAGUCAGCUCGUCGAGAGAAGUCUGCUCGUCAAGAUCAUCCAGCUCGCCCAGAAGAGCCAGCUCAUCGAUACAAGUCAGCUCGUCGAGAGAAGUCUGCUCGUCGAAGAUCAGCCAGCUCGCCCAGAAGAGCCAGCUCACUAGAACCACCAGCUCGAAACGGCAUCACCUCGUAGCGCCCUCAACUACGCUCUCAGUUCGCAAUAAGCCUUUCAGCCCGUCGAUUGCCCAGCUUCAAGUUCAGCUCGUGGAUUAGAGAUUGAUUCUUCACCUUCCCCAGAGACUCACCCGUACUUGUUUAAUUCGUGCAUUAACAGUUGGCGCGCCAGGUAGGGGGAUAGCUCGGAGAUAUCUAUCCAACAAACCACGAACUCACAACGGAGAUGACAACAGGCGGACCUUCAG